ACAGCAGCAGCCACGGUAAUACGAAGGGUGCAAGCGUUACUCGGAAUUACUGGGCGUAAAGCGUGCGUAGGUGGUGGUUUAAGUCCGUUGUGAAAGCCCUGGGCUCAACCUGGGAAUUGCAGUGGAUACUGGGUCACUAGAGUGUGGUAGAGGAUAGUGGAAUUUCUGGUGUAGCAGUGAAAUGCGUAGAGAUCGGAAGGAACAUCUGUGGCGAAGGCGACUAUCUGGGCCAACACUGACACUGAGGCACGAAAGCGUGGGGAGCAAACAGGAUUAGAUACCCCGGUAGUCCCUGUCUCUUAUAC
rnacentral:rRNA from 1 species